rnacentral:rRNA from 1 species
CCUACGGGGGGCAGCAGUGGGGAAUAUUGGACAAUGGGCGAAAGCCUGAUCCAGCCAUGCCGCGUGUGUGAAGAAGGCCUUCGGGUUGUAAAGCACUUUCAGUGGGGAAGAAAGCCUUGGGGCUAAUACCCUCGAGGAAGGACAUCACCCACAGAAGAAGCACCGGCUAACUCCGUGCCAGCAGCCGCGGUAAUACGGAGGGUGCGAGCGUUAAUCGGAAUUACUGGGCGUAAAGCGCGCGUAGGCGGUCUGAUAAGCCGGUUGUGAAAGCCCCGGGCUCAACCUGGGAACGGCAUCCGGAACUGUCAGGCUAGAGUGCAGGAGAGGAAGGUAGAAUUCCCGGUGUAGCGGUGAAAUGCGUAGAGAUCGGGAGGAAUACCAGUGGCGAAGGCGGCCUUCUGGACUGAUACUGACGCUGAGGUGCGAAAGCGUGGGUAGCAAACAGGAUUAGAUACCCCUGUAGUC